rnacentral:rRNA from 1 species
CCUACGGGGGGCAGCAGUGGGGAAUAUUGCACAAUGGGGGGAACCCUGAUGCAGCGACGCCGCGUGGGUGAAGGAGUACUUCGGUACGUAAAGCCCUAUCAGCAGGGAAGAAAAUGACGGUACCUGACUAAGAAGCCCCGGCUAACUACGUGCCAGCAGCCGCGGUAAUACGGAGGAUGCGAGCGUUAUCCGGAUUUAGUGGGUUUAAAGGGUGCGCAGGCGGCCUGUUAAGUCAGCGGUAAAAGCCCGGGGCUCAACCCCGGCGAGCCGUUGAGACUGGCGGGCUGGAGUUGGGGAGAAGUAAGCGGAAUGCGGGGUGUAGCGGUGAAAUGCUUAGAUAUCGCGCAGAACACCGAUUGCGAAGGCAGCGUACCGGCUCCACACUGACGCUGAGGCACGAAAGCGUGGGUAUCGAACAGGAUUAGAUACCCCGGUAGUC